rnacentral:lncRNA from 1 species
GCCACCCUGGGAUUACAGGUGUGAGCCACUGCGCCUGGCCUAGAGAUAAAUCUUAAUGUCCGCCAGCCAUGGGGUAAGAGUCCACUCCCUCUUUCUGCUCUUCAGUCUAUUGACUUUGGGCACAGGCACAGCUGCAGCUCUAGUAGGGGUUGGGCCUGGAGUCAGUGGAGACAAAAUGUGAAGGUAACAGGACAGUGCACGGGGCCCAGUGUGCUCUGCCUGGGCUGCUCAGGGAAGAAAAAUCACACACACACACACAAAUAACAACCCUUUUUUUGGCAGAAGUAUAGUGAAAGAUCUCUACGUCUUGGCCAGCAUUUGUUAUCUUUUUGCUUCUUUGAAAAUAGCCAUCCUGGGCCAGAUGCAGUGGCUCACGCCUGUAAUCCCAGCACUUUGGGAGGCUGAGGCGGGUGGAUCACCUGAGGUUAGGAGUAUGAGAGCAG